UACGUAGGUGGCUAGCGUUAUCCGGAUUUACUGGGCGUAAAGGGUGCGUAGGUGGUUUUUUAAGUCAGGAGUGAAAGGCUACGGCUCAACCGUAGUAAGCUCUUGAAACUGGAAAACUUGAGUGCAGGAGAGGAAAGUGGAAUUCCUAGUGUAGCGGUGAAAUGCGUAGAUAUUAGGAGGAACACCAGUAGCGAAGGCGGCUUUCUGGACUGUAACUGACACUGAGGCACGAAAGCGUGGGGAGCAAACAGG
rnacentral:rRNA from 1 species